rnacentral:rRNA from 1 species
UACGGGGGGGGCAAGCGUUGUUCGGAAUUACUGGGCGUAAAGGGUGCGUAGGCGGUGCUCUAAGUCGGAUGUGAAAACUCUGGGCUCAACCCAGAGCCUGCAUCCGAAACUGGAGUGCUAGAGUUCUGGAGGGGGUAGCGGAAUUCCUGGUGUAGCGGUGAAAUGCGCAGAUAUCAGGAGGAACACCAAUGGCGAAGGCAGCUCGCUGGGACGGUACUGACGCUGAGGCGCGAAAGCGUGGGGAGCAAACAGG